UACGGAGGGUGCAAGCGUUAUCCGGAUUCACUGGGUUUAAAGGGUGCGUAGGUGGGCAGUUAAGUCAGUGGUGAAAUCUCCGGGCUCAACCCGGAAACUGCCAUUGAUACUAUCUGUCUUGAAUAUCGUGGAGGUAAGCGGAAUAUGUCAUGUAGCGGUGAAAUGCUUAGAUAUGACAUAGAACACCUAUUGCGAAGGCAGCUUACUACGCCUAUAUUGACGCUGAGGCACGAAAGCGUGGGGAUCAAACAGG
rnacentral:rRNA from 1 species